UUUCCGCAAUGGGCGAAAGCCUGACGGAGCAAUGCCGCGUGGAGGUGGAAGGCCUACGGGUCGUCAACUUCUUUUCUCGGAGAAGAAACAAUGACGGUAUCUGAGGAAUAAGCAUCGGCUAACUCUGUGCCAGCAGCCGCGGUAAGACUGAGGAUGCAAGCGUUAUCCGGAAUGAUUGGGCGUAAAGCGUCUGUAGGUGGCUUUUCAAG
rnacentral:ncRNA from 1 species